UACGUAGGGUGCAAGCGUUAAUCGGAAUUACUGGGCGUAAAGCGUGCGCAGGCGGUUUUGUAAGUUUGUCGUGAAAUCCCCGGGCUCAACCUGGGAAUGGCGAUGAAGACUGCAAGGCUAGAAUCUGGCAGAGGGGGGUAGAAUUCCACGUGUAGCAGUGGAAAUGCGUAGAGAUGUGGAGGAACACCGAUGGCGCAAGGCAGCCCCCUGGGUCAAGAUUGACGC
rnacentral:rRNA from 1 species